AAUAGAUACCCGGGUAGUCCUAGCUGUAAACGAUGUGAACUUGGUGUCGGUGGGGUAAAACCUAUCGGUGCCGAAGCCAACGCGAUAAGUUCACCGCCUGAGGACUACGGCCGCAAGGUUAAAACUCAAAGGAAUUGACGGGUGCCCGCACAAGCAGCGGAGCGUGUGGUUCAAUUCGAUGCUACACGAAGAACCUUACCUGGGUUUGACAUAUACGUGGUAGAGAACGGAAACGGGAUCGACCCUUCGGGGAGCGUAUACAGGUGCUGCAUGGCUGUCGUCAGCUCGUGUCGUGAGAUGUCCGGUUAAGUCCGGUAACGAGCGCAACCCCUGCUGUAUGUUACAUGUGUCAUACGGGACUGCCGGUAUCAAGCCGGAGGAAGGUGGGGAUGACGUCAAGUCAGCAUGGCCUUUAUAUCCAGGGCUACACACACGCUACAAUGGUCGGUACAACGGGUUGCAAGACCGCAAAGGUGGAGCCAAUCCUCAAAAUCGGCCUCAGUUCAGAUUGCAGGCUGCAACUCGCCUGC
rnacentral:rRNA from 1 species